GAUGAACGCUGGCGGCGUGCCUAAUACAUGCAAGUCGAACGAACGGACGAUAAUCUUGCUUUUCUGUUGUUAGCCGCACACGUGUGAGUAACGCGUGUAUAACCUACCUAUAAGUCUGGUAUAACUUCGAGACACCGGCUCUUAUACCGUAUAAUAUUUUGAACCACGUUGUUCGAUAGUGAGAUACGGUCUUUCUGUCACUUAUAGCGGGAUCCGCGCUGCAUUAGCUAGUUGUGAAGGUAACAGCCUUUCAAGGCAACGAUGCAUAGCCGAACGGAGAGGGUGAUAGCCGACACGGGAACUGAGACAGGGUCCAGACGACUACGGGAGGCAGCAGUAGGGAAUCGUCCGCAAUGGGCGAAAGCAUGACGGAGUAACGCGGAGUGAGUGAUGAAGGUCUUCGGAUCGGAAAAAUCUGUUAUUAGGGAAGAACAUAUGUGGAAGUAAAUGUGCACAUAUUGACGGUAACUAAUCAGAAAGCCACGGCUAACUACGUG
rnacentral:rRNA from 1 species